rnacentral:lncRNA from 1 species
ACCACCGGAUUCAAUCUUCAUCACCCAAUUUGUCUGCACAUUGGCCCCCUUCCUGCACGACUAGAGGAGUAAGUGGACCAGCUCACGAACCCACUUAUGUACCAAUUAAGUGGGUGGUCGGCAGGCUAUCCAGUUAAUUGACAUAUAAGUGGGUUUAUAGGUUAGUCUACCUAUACCCCUAGCCACGAUUGGGGCCAUAGAUAUGGCUCACUCUUUGUUGGUAGAGUAUUAGAAGAUCCAAUACUGGGUCGUCAAUAAUUAGCCUAUUGAUUUCAUUUCAACAAGCAAAUGAUUUAUCACCAAAUGGUAAAACCACAACAGAUGCUAAUAUUGGCAUUUUUUAUCAGGUUCAAAAGGUUUUCCAAUAAGAAUUGCUCUCCGAUAUGAUAUUUGCAUGUGAUGUGAAUGCGAAAAUAUACUGAACUGGGUAUUUGUCUGCUCCAACUCCAAUGUGAUUUGUAUUUUACAUUUUUCAGGCUGCUAUGCACUUUGUGGAUUGCUAUUGGAUAUUAGUUCUAGUGCAAACAGGAGGGAAGCUCUCUGAUCUUAAAACACAGUAUCCCAGCUCUCUUAGCGCCUUGAGUAAGAGUUCCUGUUGCCUCCUUUUCCAAUAUAGUUUUGCCUAGCUCCCACGAAUCAUAUCUUCAACAG